rnacentral:tRNA from 1 species
GAGUUUAGGUUACAUCAAACCAAAAGCCUUCAAAGCUUUCAACAGGGAUACCCCCCUAACUCUUG